ACUCCUACGGGAGGCAGCAGUGGGGAAUAUUGCACAAUGGGCGCAAGCCUGAUGCAGCGACGCCGCGUGGGGAUGACGGCCUUCGGGUUGUAAACUCCUUUCGCUAGGGACGAAGCUUAUUUGUGACGGUACCUGGAGAAGAAGCACCGGCUAACUACGUGCCAGCAGCCGCGGUAAUACGUAGGGUGCGAGCGUUGUCCGGAAUUACUGGGCGUAAAGAGCUCGUAGGUGGUUUGUCGCGUCGUUUGUGUAAGCCCGCAGCUUAACUGCGGGACUGCAGGCGAUACGGGCAUAACUUGAGUGCUGUAGGGGAGACUGGAAUUCCUGGUGUAGCGGUGGAAUGCGCAGAUAUCAGGAGGAACACCGAUGGCGAAGGCAGGUCUCUGGGCAGUAACUGACGCUGAGGAGCGAAAGCAUGGGUAGCGACAGGAUUAGAUACCCUGGUAGCUACGAGU
rnacentral:rRNA from 1 species